rnacentral:rRNA from 1 species
GACGAACGCUGGCGGCGUGCCUAAUACAUGCAAGUCGAGCGGACUGAUUAAGAGCUUGCUCUUAUGACGUUAGCGGCGGACGGGUGAGUAACACGUGGGCAACCUGCCCUGUAGAUCGGGAUAACACCGAGAAAUCGGUGCUAAUACCGGGUAAUAUCUGAGAUCACAUGAUCUUAGGUUAAAAGAUGGCUCCGGCUAUCACUACAGGAUGGGCCCGCGGCGCAUUAGCUAGUUGGUAAGGUAAUGGCUUACCAAGGCGACGAUGCGUAGCCGACCUGAGAGGGUGAUCGGCCACACUGGGACGGAGAAACGGCCCAGACUCCUACGGGAGGCAGCAGUAGGGAAUCUUCCGCAAUGGACGAAAGUCUGACGGAGCAACGCCGCGUGAGUGAUGAAGGGUUUCGGCUCGUAAAGCUCUGUUGUUAGGGAAGAAACAGUACCGAACGAACUAGGUCGGUACCUUGACGGUACCUAACCAGAAAGCCACGGCUAACUACGUG